AGCAGUUGUCCAUCAAAGCUUCAGAGUCUUCUCCAGUUGUCAGCCUUUCCAGAAUUGACGGUGAAGAAAACUCAUUGCCCACACAAUUCAGUGCAAAGUGUUAUGUUGCCUCAAGACACAAUACAAUCCAAACACACUAUAUACAUAAAGUUAGAAGAUGCUGGUGCAUCGUAAACUAUGCUACCAAGUACCGUAACCUGCUCUUAGAGGUUAAACUGAAGAGAUCCAAGUUCAGAGAGAGAUCCACCACUUUCACCAUUCACUACCAGGUUGCUGCAUGCAGCCUUGGUGGAGUGUUGAUAAGUCAUGGCUGAGGCCUGUGGCCUUGGGCUGUUUCAAGAGGCCCACCACAACUGACGUCCUAACCCUGAACAUUGGACAUGGGGGAAGGGUACCGGUAACUAAAGACACAGACUAAGCAGCUACUGCAAUUUCACACAUUUUCAAAUUACACCAACAUGAGCAUCCCAAUUGCCACUAUUGGCUAGGCAGGAAAAUCUACAUGUCACAGGUGAGCUCUGGGGGGAGGAGGGGUAAUUUAGGGGAAAUGAUACAGCGGGAAAGGCUUACACACUUGCCACAGCCAUUCAAUUCACCCCUCUUUCAGCUUUAUUAUUAUUAUUAAAUAAUGGAAAUAGAAUGAGAGUGGUAACACCUAUUUCCACAACAACCCUGUGAGGUAGGUUAGACAGAUGACUGAUCCAAGGUCACCAAAGUGAGCUUAACAGCUGAGUGCAGCUUUUAGCCUGUGUCUCUGUAGCCUAACAGAAUUUGCAUGAGAUAUUUACAUAGAGGUGCAGAGGUAUUUCAAAUUUCAAGGAAAUCAAAUGAAAAAAUCCCCACUGCUGUGACAGCAACAUUAAAGGCAGAAUUUUGUUGUUCCGUCCUUAGUUACAGCUCCAAUUUCUAGCUUCCACUUGAAGACCACCAUAGGCAAGACCCCCAGCAUUCAAUUGAAUACCAGAAAUCAUUGAUGUAACUCUCCCUCGCUCCCUAUAUAAGGGAGGGGAGAGAAAUACCUUUUUU